AGUGACUUCCCGGCAGCAAAUGUGACUGCUGUCACAUUUGCUGGCGGGAAGUCACUGC
rnacentral:pre_miRNA from 1 species